rnacentral:lncRNA from 1 species
CCUGAGGUGCGCGUGACAUCCCCGUGCCCUCCACUGGAAGAAAUGUGCCCCCUGAAGGCGCAGCAGGAGCCCCCAGCCUGGGCGCGGCACCGCAGGACGCUUUGUGCUCUCCAAGGACUGCGCCUAAGUGUCCCCCGCUACGUCCUCACCUCCUGUCCUGAGGGUGCGUGGGGCGCGUCCUCGGCAGGCAGGACCGACUCCCCGACCCCAGGCUCCUCAGCUUCGCAGCGCGGUGGCCACCGAGCAGGGCGCUCCCGGAGCCGGCGCGUUUGAGGACGGGGUCGCCUCCAGGAACUGCUUCUGUUCCUUGUGUUCGCGGUUCGUUUUUCUUCUGAAAAGAAAGCCUGUGUUUCAACACGGGUGCUUGGUCUCCACGUGGCAAAGCAGCUCUGUCACCACGCAGUGCACAGGGCAGGCUUGCAGAGCACGAGUGACCCCCGAUGUCCUUUAACGCCGCCUUCUUCCUGCUGCCUCUCAGGGUCUUCGGUCUCGGCACCGGGUCCCUCCCCUUUCCAUGCAGCUCUGCAGUGACGCUGGUUUGGGGCUCGUUUGGGCUGAAGUUAGCUGUGGGUUUCCCAAACUGACUGAGAUGAGUGCUCGGUGCGGGCAGAGGCGCCGACGGGAGAGGUAAAAAGCCGUAGGCGGCGGCACAGGGACUAAAACGAGCGUCACCACCAGACGCAGCCCGCAGCUGAGGAGCUCGGGCUCACCCCGCUCUGAACCCCGGGUAGAGGCUCAGGUCCGGGAGCAGUUGGUUUGUUCCGGUCUCCGCAGUCAGAACUCUGGGCCUCUGCUCCUCUGUACCUGCAGGGGCGCCCAUGCCCCGUCGCCCCGUCGCCGCCUCCGUCAGAUCAUCGGGCCCUGGGUUCUCAGGAGGAGCGGAGUCCUCAGCCCUCGCAGGCAGCCCCACUGCGGACCCGGCCACAGACAGGCGCUGGGCCCUUCCUGCCUGGUCUCCAUAACCCUGUUACUCGGGACUUACCCGGUCACUUCCGGGGAGAGGAGGGCUCACGGGUAGCAGGGUACAUGAAAACACUGUGCAGUUUUCAGGGGCACCUGCCCCCCAGUGCAGGAAGAGCCCCUCUCCCAGGCCCUCAGACAGCCCAGAUGGGAGAGGGCGCGGCAUCUCCACUCACCUUCCUUGCAGUCACUCGUUUCAUCUAAGAAGAAAGAGGGGAGAGAGGAAGAGGAGGAAGAAGAAAAGUCACCAGUGAAUCCUGAAUUGGAAGGAGACCCAACUAAUAAGACAGCACAUUCAUCAGUAUUUGUUGGAUGAGCAGAAAGAUAUUGAGUCUUCAUGCCACUAACGAUGAUGCAGGUGAAAGGCAUAAGGUCUGAUGGCCCCCAAAAGCCCCCCCUCAUAGAAAGCAAAUCCUCCACCUGCUCCACUUGGAGGGAACACACGCGUGGGUCUCCAGACUCACCGUUCAGCACCUGAAGGCUCAGCAAACCUGGAGACAGCGACAUAGAAACUGAGUCACCAGGCGGCCACAUCAGUCCCUCGUUCGCCCACAGGCCGCCAGGCUUCUCGGAGAGGCUGGACUGGGGACUGGAGACCCGGCUCUGCAAGCUGCCCGGGCGGUGGAAGGGGAGCGGGGCUCUUACCCAGGAUCUCUGCCGCCGGUCAGUCCAUCGGAGGGCGGCGCUCCGGGUGAGGCAGAGGGCAGUGUGUGCGCCCAGGGGCGGCGGAGCCAAGGCCAGCAGAGGGACAAAGUCUCAGGUCAGCAGGAGGAAGGAGGCAGCGGAGUCCUGGGAGACCAGCGCUGGCAGGAGGAAAGCCUCCUCCCUGCUCCCUGCCACCUAGAGCCUCAGAGGAGCUCCUCAGGCUGACGCAUUCCACCUGCCCAGGUUUCCCGGCUGCUCCCAUCACCAUGGAUUUACAUGUAAUUCUCACGCCUCACGGCUCCCCGCUGCCAGGGUAGAAGGCAGUGUUGCUGGUGCAUUUCCAGUGUGCAGCCAGCACUAGUCAACGUCGGAGCACUUUUGUCCCCCAAAGGGAUCCUCCUGCCUCAGCCUCCCGAGAGCUGGGAUUACAGGCUUGCACCACGCCACCACGCCCAGCAGGGGAAGCUGUGAAGCAGCGGAUGCUGCGGAGCCCCUGGGCCAGGCCCCGAACACCCAGCUCCCCACAGCAGCAGGAGGAGCUCACGUCUCACUGAGGAGCAGCCGCCAGCCGGAGUGCACGUGGAAAAGAGGAGACAGCAGGAUAAACCGUCAGUGCCCGGCCCAGAGCUGUGGAUGCCCUAACUCCACGUGCCCUGCGGGGUGAGACAGGGUUUGGGACAGUGCAGCGAACAGAGCCCGAGGCGUCUCCGGCCUCCCGGCCCAGGUCCACCCACCCUGGGCCCAGGCAUCGUGGGACACUCAGCUGGGAUCCGGAAGCUCAGAUUUCGGGGUUCUGGGGUUGGGGUGCUCGACUUGUAAAGCCUAAGCAAAUAUCCCAACUUCUGAAAAGAAGUCUGAGACCUGAGACCUGUCUGGGGCCAAGCAUUUCUGACAAGGAAAUGCAACCUGCUGGGGACUCAGAGCCUGGGCGGCCCUGGGGAAGCAGCCAGUUCGGCGCCUUGGGGAGCCUGAGACCGGGAGGCCGAGGUGCGGGGGGGCCAGCACAUUCAGUGCUCUUGCUGGAGCCCACAAACCACUUCUGACUCCCAGCUGCUAAGUGAUACACUGUUUACCCAAAUAGACUCUUUAAAAUAUUAUUGCACCUCAGUGUAUCUCUGAAACCACACAAAACACUGGAUAAAGUGGGGCAGAGGGGGUCUGGGUCACCGGCACCCCACAAAGGUGCAGGAGGGAAGCAGACCCAGACCCAGGAUGGGGGGCUCACGCACCACCCCCUUCUUUGUUCACUGCACCCCCGUGGAGGUGAUCUCACACAUAUGCGCACGCACUGCAAGAACGCACAUGCGCACACACACAGAGACGCAUGCACACACAACCUGCACACACACACACACACACAUGCACACGUGCGCACGCAGUUACUCCAGUGAAACCCCUAACCACUGCCUUUCACCCUAAGAUAACGCUCAAAAUUCCCCCCUCUGACUCCCAAG